rnacentral:rRNA from 1 species
UCCGUAGGCGGUGUGGCAAGUCGGAAGUGAAAUCUCUGGGCUUAACCCAGAGGCUGCUUCCGAAACUGCCGUGCUAGAGUGCGAGAGAGGCAAGUGGAAUUGCGGGUGUAGCGGUGAAAUGCGUAGAUAUCCGCAGGAAUAUCCGAGGCGAAAGCGGCUUGCUGGAUCGCAACUGACGCUGAGGGACGAAAGCUAGGGGGAGCAAACAGGAUUAGAUACCCUGGUAGUCCUAGCCCUAAACCAUCAGGACUUGGGGUUUGCCCUGUACGGGGCAAGUCCCGUAGCUAACGCGUUAAGUCCUGCGCCUGGGGAGUACGGUCGCAAGGCUGAA